GCCCUCCUGGCUCAGUGGUAGAGCACGUCCUUGGUAAGGACGAGGUCCCGGGUUCGAUUCCCGGGGAGGGCU
rnacentral:tRNA from 1 species